CACGUCGAGCGAACGGAUAAGGAGCUUGCUCCUUUGAAGUUAGCGGCGGACGGGUGAGUAACACGUGGGUAACCUACCUAUAAGACUGGAAUAACUUCGGGAAACCGGAGCUAAUGCCGGAUAACAUUUGGAACCGCAUGGUUCUAAAGUAAAAGAUGGUUUUGCUAUCACUUAUAGAUGGACCCGCGCCGUAUUAGCUAGUUGGUAAGGUAACGGCUUACCAAGGCAACGAUACGUAGCCGACCUGAGAGGGUGAUCGGCCACACUGGAACUGAGACACGGUCCAGACUCCUACGGGAGGCAGCAGUAGGGAAUCUUCCGCAAUGGACGAAAGUCUGACGGAGCAACGCCGCGUGAGUGAUGAAGGUUUUCGGAUCGUAAAACUCUGUUAUUAGGGAAGAACAAAUGUGUAAGUAACUGUGCACAUCUUGACGGUACCUAAUCAGAAAGCCACGGCUAACUACGUGCCAGCAGCCGCGGUAAUACGUAGGUGGCAAGCGUUAUCCGGAAUUAUUGGGCGUAAAGCGCGCGUAGGCGGUUUCUUAAGUCUGAUGUGAAAGCCCACGGCUCAACCGUGGAGGGUCAUUGGAAACUGGGAAACUUGAGUACAGAAGAGGAAAGUGGAAUUCCAUGUGUAGCGGUGAAAUGCGCAGAGAUAUGGAGGAACACCAGUGGCGAAGGCGACUUUCUGGUCUGUAACUGACGCUGAUGUGCGAAAGCGUGGGGAUCAAACAGGAUUAGAUACCCUGGUAGUCCACGCCGUAAACGAUGAGUGCUAAGUGUUAGGGGGUUUCCGCCCC
rnacentral:rRNA from 1 species